rnacentral:rRNA from 1 species
CCUACGGGUGGCUGCAGUGGGGGAUAUUGCACAAUGGGGGAAACCCUGAUGCAGCGACGCCGCGUGUGGGAAGACGGUCCUCUGGAUUGUAAACCACUGUCCCCAGGGACGAAGAUGACGGUACCUGGGGAGGAAGCUCCGGCUAACUACGUGCCAGCAGCCGCGGUAAUACGUAGGGAGCGAGCGUUGUCCGGAAUUACUGGGUGAAAGGGGAGCGUAGGCGGGACUGCAAGUUGGGUGUCAAAUCUACGGGCUCAACCGGUAGCCGCACUCAAAACUGCAGUUCUUGAGUGAAGUAGAGGCAGGCGGAAUUCCUAGUGUAGCGGUGAAAUGCGUAGAUAUUAGGAGGAACACCAGUGGCGAAGGCGGCCUGCUGGGCUUUUACUGACGCUGAGGCUCGAAAGUGUGGGGAGCAAACAGGAUUAGAUACCCCUGUAGUC